GAGGUAGACUUGGCCAACAGAUUUUUUAUUGCGGACGCGCAAACUCGCUCAUUCAAAAAUAAAAUAAAAACAAAAAAAACACAGACCAACUCUCCUGUUAUGAUGUGAUUAUCGAUUGCGAUUAUCGACGUUGAAGAAGUUACCGACGACAGCCGACGGAGCUAUCGAGGCUCGUCGCUGAACGGUACGACGUCAGAGUGAAUAAAGGAGGUCGGCCAGCCGCUGUGACAUGGGGGAGACGGACCGCCCUAAAUUGAUGAAGCAAAGAAAAUUUAUGGUCAUGAAAAAAAGAGGCGACGAGACAUGAAAAUCGAAUCGAUUGUGAAUGACAGACUGGUUGGCGGGCUGUGCCAGUCAGUGUUUCUGCGGUGCAGUGUGAUUGAAGAGCGUGUGUGCGCGCGCCAGGCGUAAUUCAAGCAAGAGCAAGAAGGACUAGGCAAAAACAAUGGCAAACAACAAUAAUAACAAAAAUGUAAACAAAUUGUAAAUCAUCAUUAGUAACGGCAACAAAGCGCCCAAACAUUAUAAAAUAGGCAGCGGCGGCAGUAUA